UACGGAGGAUGCGAGCGUUAUCCGGAUUUAUUGGGUUUAAAGGGUGCGCAGGCGGAAUGUCAAGUCAGCGGUAAAAUUUCGGGGCUCAACCCCGUCGUGCCGUUGAAACUGAUGUUCUUGAGUGGGCGAGAAGUAUGCGGAAUGCGUGGUGUAGCGGUGAAAUGCAUAGAUAUCACGCAGAACUCCGAUUGCGAAGGCAGCAUGCCGGCUCCACACUGACGCUGAGGCACGAAAGCGUGGGUAUCGAACAGG
rnacentral:rRNA from 1 species